GAUUUCUGGUUAAUUGUCCUAGCCCGCUCGCUUCGGUGGGUGAGUGCUGGUACAACUAGCCAUCCUUCCAGAGAGCCGUGAGUACCCUUCACUGGGCCGCUCGCGUUUGCGAUCUGGAUCUUUUACUUUGAAAAAAUUAGAGUGUUUAAAGCAGGCUUACGCCUUGAAUACAUUAGCAUGGAAUAAUAACAUAGGACUUCGGUUCUAUUUUGUUGGUUUCUAGGACCUUAGUAAUGAUUGAUAGGGAUAGUUGGGGGUGCUAGUAUUCAGCGGCCAGAGGUGAAAUUCUUGGAUUCGCUGAAGACUAACUACUGCGAAAGCAUU
rnacentral:rRNA from 1 species